rnacentral:rRNA from 1 species
CCUACGGGAGGCAGCAGUGAGGAAUAUUGGUCAAUGGACGGAAGUCUGAACCAGCCAUGCCGCGUGAAGGAAGACGGCUCGAUGAGUGGUAAACUGCUUUUGUACAAGGGUAAACCGGAAUACGUGUAUUCAGCUGAAAGUACUGUACGAAUAAGGAUCGGCUAACUCCGUGCCAGCAGCCGCGGUAAUACGGAGGAACCAAGCGUUAUCCGGAUUUAUUGGGGUUAAAGGGGGCGUAGGCGGGUUGAUAAGUUAGAGGGGAAAUGUCCGGGCUCAACCCGGGAACUGCCGCUUAGACUGUUGAUCUAGAGUGUAGGUGCGGUAGGCGGAAUGUAUGGUGUAGCGGUGAAAUGCUU